rnacentral:rRNA from 1 species
CCUACGGGAGGCAGCAGUGGGGAAUAUUGACAAUGGGCGCAACAUGAUCCCAAGGCCGCGUGAGUGAUGAAGGCCUUCGGGUUGUAAAGCUCUUUCAGCGGGGAAGAUAAUGACGGCACCCACAAAGAAGCCCUUCUAACUUCGUGCCAGCAGGCGCGGGAAUAACACGUGCCAGCCGCCGCGG